CCUAAAGAGCUGCAGCUGGGGCAGUUAUCAAAGAUUAGGGACAGACCUGACUUUAACAGGGCACAGCUGUACCCAAUGAGAAGAAGAUGCUAUAAAGAGUAGGUUGGCUGAUUGAGAAGGGAACUGGAGUCAGUGGCUGCUUUGUGAAGGAGAAACAGUCAGAGCUCUGAGGAGCUGCCCACCAGAAGCACCAAGCAGGUGUUAGUGGUGCCUUCAGCUGUGGCAGGGGAAGCACACAACCCUGAACUCCAUGUUUUGGCUGGAAGGAUUCAUUAUCCAGAGGUGGCAUCCUUACUGCUGGGGGGAGGACAAAUAUCCUGCAGGAGCAGCCCAGCACUGAGGAGCUUCUGAUCCCCAGCAGCUCCUGAUCUUGAUCCCCAACAUCUUCUGAUUCUCCCGAUACCCAGCAUUCUCUGAUCCCCAGCAGCUCCUGUGUCUGAACUGGGCUCUCUCUCUGCUCCUGGUUGCUGGAAGCAGUGAAGGACAGGGCUCACACAUAAAUGCAGGUGUGCAGCUCAGGAGCUCCCUGUCCUGGGCCUUCCAGACAAAACAGGGGAUGGUUCAUCAGGGAAUGGUUCCUCCAUUGAGGGGUUUGUUCUUGGCUCCCUGCGCUCCCAUCUCCUUCCAAGGGGUCCCAUUUCCUUGUCAGGGGGAUCCCAGAGCCCUCCUGAGCAGGGCUCUGCCCAGGCCAGUCCUGGGAUCACUCCUGACACAGAGCUCACCAACAAAAGGCAUUUCAAUGUUCUAUUUUCUAUUGCUUUUUCCUGCCUGGCUGCACUCUGUGGCUCCAAUGCACCUUUGCAGCAGAUUUUAGGAAGCCAAAAGCUCCUAAAUCCCUCCUGCAGCUGAGCCUGCUCUCACCCGAGGCUCCCAGGCACAGGCAGCUCCUUCUCCUUCCACUCUGUCUCACAAACAGAGCUUUCCUACAU